rnacentral:ribozyme from 1 species
UUUUUUUUUUUUUUUUUUUUUUUUUUUUUUUUUUUUUUUUUUCGAACCUCGG